CUUGGGGGGGGAGGGGUGCCCUCAGCCCAGAUUUUGAGAGGGUGUAGGCUAGACUGGGGGACCCCACUGGUGCAUU
rnacentral:pre_miRNA from 1 species